UCAAACAAGUAAGGGACAUAGUGUCCUUUUUUUGACCCAGUAAACAAAAAAGAGAGAAAAACUGCAGAUCAGGGAGUUGUGGAGCAGGAAGAGUGAGAGCCAGAGGAGUCGGUGGAGGUUGGAGAGAGGGCAUGUGAUGAAAGUGAGGGCUCAGACACAGAGUGAUAUUCCAGAGGGUGACGAGGAUGAAGAAGAGGGGGACGAGGAAGAAAACAUUCAAGGACAGAGAGAGGGACAGCAAGUGGAUCCGUGGGCAUCUAGUACUGCCCCGUCAGAUAUCAGCAAGUCCAAGAAUGAUGUACCAGUACAGCCCAACUGGAAUGUAUUCCCAACAGUUUUGAUGGGGGACAGAAGACGGAGCUUCAGG